rnacentral:rRNA from 1 species
GUCCACGCCCUAACGAUGUCAACUGGUUGUUGGGAGGGUUUCUUCUCAGUAACGAAGCUAACGCGUGAAGUUGACCGCCUGGGAGUACGGCCGCAAGGUUGAAACUCAAAGGAAUUGACGGGACCCGCACAAGCGGUGGAUGAUGUGGUUUAAUUCGAUGCAACGCGAAACCUUACCUACCCUUGACAUGUCUGAAAUCCUGCAGAGAUGUGGGAGUGCUCGAAAGAGAAUCAGAACACAGGUGCUGCAUGGCCGUCGU